UGCCGUCCAAUGUGGGAGCUCAUCCACCAACGCUCCAUUUGAUAGCAUCCUCUACAUGCAUUCCCAGGCUCGAGUUUUCCCACAGGUAAACCAUCUACCGCAAUUUUCGACAGUCUCAAAAAAAAAGAAAAAAAAAAGAAAAAAAAAAAUCAAUUCGCUGAUUUUAAUCUCUCUGUCUAUCUUUCCUCGUGAAGAUGCAAGAGUAAGCCUUCUCACGCAUGUUUCGAAUGGAAUGUUCAUUUUUCUCUUGAAGCGCAAGGACGGUUUCAAGACCAUACAAGGGUUCUAAGACUAAAGAUUCAUCAAAUUGACAUGGUUUAAGGAGCUAUACAAAGCAUUUAAAACCAUGUUGAUGGAUCAAAUAUUUAGAGCACA
rnacentral:lncRNA from 1 species